rnacentral:rRNA from 1 species
AGCAGCCACUCAUUAAAAGAGUGCGUAAUAGCUCACUGGUCGAGUGACUCUGCGCGGAAAAUAUAACGGGGCUAAGCAUGAAACCGAAGCUUGGGCUUGUCGUAAGACAGGGGUAGGGGAGCGUCGAGUAUAGGGUGAAGUCAGAGCGGAAGCACUGGUGGACUGUACUCGAGUGAGAAUGCCGGAAUGAGUAGCGAGAAUUAUGUGGGAAUCAUAAUGGCCGAAAAUCUAAGGUUUCUUGGGGAAGGUUCGUCCGCCCAAGGUAAGUCGGGAGCUAAGCUCAGGCCGAGAGGCGUAGGCGAUGCACAUACGGUAGAAAUUCCGUAACCACCGAAACUUAAACAGAGGGACACUUCGAAAUAGCGGAACCCGGGCGUUGGUUGACCCGGGCGAAAGGGAGCGAAAUUAGAGUAGCGAAGUCCGCGAUGUUCGGAGGCGAGAAAAGCUCUGAGGUAUGCUAAGGUGCCCGUACCGCAAACCGACACAGGUAGAUGAGGAGAGAAUCCUAAGGCCAACGGGAGAAGGGUUGUUAAGGAACUCGGCAAAUUGACCCCGUAACUUCGGAAGAAGGGGAGCCCCCUACGGGGGGUCGCAGAGAAAUGGCCCAAGCAACUGUUUACCAAAAACACAGGUCUAUGCUAAAUCGAAAGAUGACGUAUAUGGGCUGACGCCUGCCCGGUGCCGGAAGGUUAAGAGGAGAUGUCAGCGCAAGCGAAGCAUUGAAUUGAAGCCCCGGUAAACGGCGGCCGUAACUAUAACGGUCCUAAGGUAGCGAAAUUCCUUGUCAGGUAAGUUCUGACCCGCACGAAUGGCGUAAUGAUUUGGGCACUGUCUCAACAGCCCGCCCGGCGAAAUUGUAGUACUGGUGAAGAUGCCAGUUACCCGCAACUAGACGGAAAGACCCCAUGGAGCUUUACUGCAGCUUAAUACUGAAAUUCGGUAGUACAUGUACAGGAUAGGUGGGAGACUGAGAAAUACAGGCGUCAGCUUGUAUGGAGUCGCUGUUGGGAUACCACUCUUGUACUGCUGGGUUUCUAACCUGCGGCCGUGAAUCCGGUCGGGGGACACUGUUAGGCGGGCAGUUUGACUGGGGCGGUCGCCUCCCAAAAGGUAACGGAGGCGCUCAAAGGUUCGUUCAGCACGGACGGAAAUCGUGCAAUGAGUGUAAACGCAUAAACGAGCCUAACUGCGACACCGACGGGUGGAGCAGUAACGAAAGUUGGAGUUAGUGAUCCGGUGGUAUGUGAGUGGAAAUGCCA